rnacentral:rRNA from 1 species
CCCUUAGAUGUUCUGGGCCGCACGCGUGCUACACUGAGUGGAUCAGCGGGUCAGGUUGCGCGAAAGUGUUUCCUAAUCUUGAAAUCCGCUCGUGAUGGGGAUUGACGGUUGCAAUUUUCCGUCAUGAACGAGGAAUACCUUGUAAGCGCGGGUCAUCAUCCCGCGCUGAAUACGUCCCUGCCCUUUAUACACACCGCCCGUCGCUCCUACCGAUUGAGUGGUCCGGUGAGGCUUUGGGAUCUGAGCAAAGAGAGCGUUUCGCUCGUUUUGCCCGGAAAACUCAGUCGAACCUUAUCAUUUAGAGGAAGGAGAAGUCGUAACA